UACAGAGGGGGCAAGCGUUGUUCGGAAUUACUGGGCGUAAAGGGCUCGUAGGCGGCCAACUAAGUCAGACGUGAAAUCCCUCAGCUUAACUGGGGAACUGCGUCUGAUACUGGAUGGCUUGGAUCCGGGAGAGGGAUGCGGAAUUCCAGGUGUAGCGGUGAAAUGCGUAGAUAUCUGGAGGAACACCGGUGGCGAAGGCGGCAUCCUGGACCGGUAUUGACGCUGAGGAGCGAAAGCCAGGGGGGCAAACGGG
rnacentral:rRNA from 1 species